CAGUAAUGAAUAGAUGAUGCAGUGUGAGAGACAGACGCCUGUCAGCUAAUGGAUCUCUUGAUGAAAGACUUUAUCACGUGGGGAGGAAAAUGUUCUGUUUCCUCUUAAAGAUCGUGGGGGGACAUGCAUGACAAAAGAAGAGGGCCAAAAGAUAUCGAUAACCCUACUCAAAAUCUUACUCUUAGUGCCAGCAGAGCAAAGCUGAGGGGAAACAAGUCCUUUGCCUCUAAAAGGCUCAGACUGGGUAACAGCAUGUUGUGUCUCACAGAUGGAAUAUUUGUGUUAUAAUUGGAUGCCCAUAACAAGACAUUCUUUUGACUGCAAUUCAGGUGGAACAUUUUCUACACUUCAGAGAUUUAUAAGGGUUUUUUCCUGGUCCUGCUUGCUGUCCUUAGGGAAGCGUUCAAUCUGGGCCUAGCAGCAGUCAGUCUGGAAAGAGCCAGCCUAGAACAAGGGCAUCCACCUUGGGAGACUCCACUGAUCCAUCGCUGCUCAGAAGUUUGUCCUGAUAUGAUCUUUGUGGAUUAUUUACUGAGUGCCGACAGCAUGUUCGGUUCAGUAUGAAAUUCAAAGGAAGAGCUGGUCAGUCUGGUGGUGAGGACACGAGACUGGGAGUCAGGAGGCCUGAGAUCCAUUCCCAGCUCCGUCUCUGACUUGCUGUGUGACCUCGGAGAUGAGUUCACUUCCCGACUCAAUGCCUCAGUUUCCCCAACUGUAAACUUAGUGAAAUGAUACUUAGUCACCUUUGCAAGGUGUUUUGAGAUCUAGCUGUGAAAAUCCUGAUAGAGGAACCAUUCUUACUUACACAUAACUGUCAGGCUAAAUUUUCCUAUUACGUUCAUCCUAUUAGUGUGAGUUACAGCCUCUAUUAGUGCCUGUAAUAAUUCCUUGCCUUCCUUUUUAUUUUGCACUCUUUGGUCUAUUUGCACAUAGUGUGGAUCAAAACUAUAUAGAUAUUAUUCGUUAUAAUUGAAUUAUUCUGUGCAGUUCAUGCUGAGCUGCUGGAGACAAUGAAUAGUCCCCUGUAUGAACAGGUGGGCGCAAUCAUUUAAUAAAGCUUGGUGGAUGCCUGGAAAAGAACUUGAGUAAAAUUAAAGUCGUAUAAGGUUAGCAGGGCAGCUGAAACAUGCCCAGUGUUCUAGGCUCAGGCAGUUUCUGCAGGAAUCAUCACAAGUAUGAAUAUCAAAUCUGAAUACUAAUGUAACAUCCCACCCCAGAAGGCAGGGAAAUAACACCUAGCACUGAUACGGUGCUUUUUAUCUAUAGAUCUCAAAGUGCUUUUACACAGGACAGUCAUUAUCCCCAUUACACAGAUGAGGAAUCUGAGAUGCAGAGAAAUUAAAGGUCAGAUUUUCCAAAAUGUCCCUGAUUUUCAAAAGCUAGGUUUUAACUGGAGCAUUUUAAAAAUCUGGUAAUUUCUUUGGUCACUGAAACGGGAACUGCUGGGUGCUGACUUCUUUUGAAAAUCUUGCCUCAGUGCCCAGUGAUUAAGGAACAGAGCCCAGGUCUCCUGAUUUCCACCCCAAUGCCCUGGCUUACUGCCUGGACCAUAUUGCCUCUUUGCACAAAUACCAAUAGCUUAGAGCUGAAACAGGGAAGAUUGGUCACAAUCUUGCUAAAAAAGAGGAUGAUUUUUUCACAUCUCCUAGCAUUGGGAUAUCAUUGUUCUGGGCCAUUAGAAACUCACCUGUGACAAUUAGUCUGGUCCCAUUUCCGAAGUUGGGUUGUAGAUACAUAAAGGAAACGAGGCCACAGUAAUAAACCCCGGAGUCAUCUCUUUGUACGUUACGGAUAAUUAGAGAAAACGUGUUUGCCUCAGUGUUCACUUCACUUGAGUAUUUUCCAUCUGACGAUGCAAACUCAGAACUCCGGUAAAUCCACUGGAAACUUCCACUCUGUUCCUUGUACCACAUUACACUCACUUCAUCUUCUAAUGUUUUACAGUGCAGCUGUGCAGUGUCCCCAGAUUUCAGCCAUACCUGGGCUGGGCUUUGCAGGAUUUGUAUCUCUUUUUCCGAGACAGUCACUGUACAGGGGAAGAAAGACGUGUGUUAAUACAGUGAGCACUGGACAAGCCUGGGCUUUUGCAAUAUGCUAUAUAGAGCAGAGGGUCCAAGAAUAACACAAAGCACAUAUUUGUUAAAGAUUUAUUUAAAUUUUUCUCUAUUUCUAGCCAUGUAUUUUGUUAGGAUUCAUGUAGCCUGUGUGGGAAUUAAUGCAACGUAACAACAAAAAUCAACCUCAGAGUUCAGACUUCCAGUGCCCUGCCCUAAACCCCAGACUACAAAUGCCCACUCAUGCUUACCCAAAUCAAUGAUAAAAGACCUUCCUUUGACUAAAUUUUACAUGGGAGAGUCAUUUAUUAACUUAGCCAUUUGUGUUUCAAAUUCUAUUUUUGAUCAUUCUGCAGAAAAAUACAUCAGCCUGUGUGUAAUACAUCAGCAUAGGAAAAAAAAAGUAGAUCCAGGACAUUAUCCAGAACCAGAAACUAUUUUCAAGGGGUUUGUGCCUGGUAUUCUGAUUGUUUUAAAACAGAAUAUUUCCUCACCUCUCAAGAUUCCAGUUGAUGAACUGAAAGAUGUGAAUAUCUCUCUCCCAAGUUGAUAUUAGCAUCUCUUGGAAUUGCAGAAGAUCCUUGUGCAGAAAGUUAAUUGUUUUUAAAGUGGUAGAAAACAAGCGUGAAAUAAAUCAGGCUAAAAUACUUACUUUGCAGGUAGAUUAGAAUCACCCCAACUGUCUGGUGGGACAUCUUGUGCCUUUCUUCAGUAAUGAAUAGGUGAUGCUGUGAGACAGACAGACGCCUGCUAGAUAAUGGAUCUCUUGAUGAAAGACUCUGUCACGUGUAGAGGAAAAUGUUCUAUUUCCUCUUCUAGAUCUGUGGGGCAACAUGCAUGACAGAAAAGGAGGGCCAGGACGUACUGAGAACCCCGUUCAAAAUCUUACUCUGAGAGCCAGCAGAGCAAACCGGGGGAAGAAUGUUCCUUUGCCUCCAAAAUCUAUUAAAGAAGAAAUUCAAGUUUAGACUGGGUAACAGCAUGGUGUGCGUGUCUAGUGCAAUCUGCUGUGUUCUGAUUGGAUGUCCAUAACAAGACCCUCUUCUGACUGUAAUUCUGUGUUUCACGGGUGAUUAAGGUCAGAUGGGAUUAGCAUCAAUAUCACAGUGGUGUAUGAAAAUUGUGAUUUAUCCCUUUAAAUUUCAGGGGGUUUCCUGGUCCUGCUCCCUAUCUGUAGGGAAGCAUGCAAUCGGAGCCUAGCAACUCUCAGUCCAGAAAGAACCAGCCUAGAAAAAGAUGAGCAACAGCCGACAAGAAGCCCCUGUGAAAAGCAUCUGUCACCACAGCACUUCCCCCGGGAGGCGUUCCUCAGCAGAACCCACCAGGAUGUUGGAGCCUUUGCACUUGAGCAGCGUACCAGACGGUGAUACGAGUGCAGUUAUUUUUGCACCAACUUCAGCCGUUCUUGUUUGUGAACAUUAAUGAUACAGCGAAGAUCCAGUGCUCUUCCAAAGAAAAAUUUGUAGCAGGAGGUAUAACAGCUGAGUGGUACAGGAGACGGGAAGACAGUUACACCAGCAGCAGUUGGGUGCUGACUCUGGCUCCAUCUCCCCACGGCCUCCUCUCCCCCGGGACGGCUGAUCUGGCUUGUGUGGUCCAUGGAGUUUCCAACCCAGUCCAAAUUUCCUGGAGUUUUUCUG